rnacentral:rRNA from 1 species
GACGAACGCUGGCGGCGUGCUUAACACAUGCAAGUCGAACGGAAAGGCCCUGCUUUUUUGGGGUGCUCGAGUGGCGAACGGGUGAGUAACACGUGAGUAACCUGCCCUUGACUUUGGGAUAACUUCAGGAAACUGGGGCUAAUCCCGGAUAGGAGCUCCUGCUGCAUGGUGGGCGUUGGAAAGUUUCGGCGGUUGGGGAUGGACGCGCGGCUUAUCAGCUUGUUGGUGGGGUAGUGGCUUACCAAGGCAUUGACGGAUAGCCGGCCUGAGAGGGUGACCGGGGACCUGAGGCCUGAGGGAGGGACCAGACGGGUAUGGGGGGCAGCAGGGGGGAAUAUGGCACAAUGGGAGGAAGCCGGAGGAAGCAACGCCGGGGGUGGGAAGACGGCCUUCGGGUUGUAAACCGCUGUCGCCUGUGACGAAGCGUGAGUGACGGUAAUGGGUAAAGAAGCACCGGCUAACUACGUG